GUGAGGAAUAUUGGACAAUGGGCGCAAGCCUGAUCCAGCCAUGCCGCGUGAGUGAUGAAGGCCUUAGGGUUGUAAAGCUCUUUCAGUGGGGACGAUAAUGACGGUACCCACAGAAGAAGCCCCGGCUAACUUCGUGCCAGCAGCCGCGGUAAUACGAAGGGGGCUAGCGUUGUUCGGAUUUACUGGGCGUAAAGCGCACGUAGGCGGAUCGUUAAGUCGGGGGUGAAAUCCUGGAGCUCAACUCCAGAACUGCCUUCGAUACUGGCGAUCUUGAGUCCGGAAGAGGUGAGUGGAACUCCUAGUGUAGAGGUGGAAUUCGUAGAUAUUAGGAAGAACACCAGUGGCGAAGGCGGCUCACUGGUCCGGUACUGACGCUGAGGUGCGAAAGCGUGGGGAGCAAACAGGAUUAGAUACCCGAGUAGUCC
rnacentral:rRNA from 1 species